CUGAUGAAGUGAUGAGUUUCUCAUGUCUCUUCUCUGAUUUUCAUGUGGAGAAAUUAACGAAUUUCUCUGAUCACAG
ensembl:snoRNA small nucleolar RNA SNORD111